rnacentral:rRNA from 1 species
AUAAAGUCUAACCUGCCCACUGAAAAAUUUUAAAUGGCCGCAGUAUUUUAACUGUGCAAAGGUAGCAUAAUCAUUAGUCUUUUAAUUGAAGGCUGGAAUGAAUGGUUGGACGAGAUAUUAACUGUUUCAUUUAAAUUUUUUAUAGAAUUUUAUUUUUUAGUCAAAAAGCUAAAAUAAAUUUAAAAGACGAGAAGACCCUAUAAAUCUUUAUAUUUUAUUUAUUUUAAUUAUAAAGAUUAUUUUUAUUAUAAUAAGUUAAAAUAUUUUAUUGGGGUGAUAUUAAAAUUUAAAAAACUUUUAAUUUUUUAAACCAUUAAUUUAUGAAUAAUUGAUCCAUUAAUAAUGAUUAAAAAUUUAAGUUACUUUAGGGAUAACAGCGUAAUUUUUUUGGAGAGUUCAUAUCGAUAAAAAAGAUUGCGACCUCGAUGUUGGAUUAAGAUAUAAUUUUGGGUGUAGCCGUUCAAAUUUUAAGUCUGUUCGACUUUUAAAUUCUUACAUGAUCUGAGUUCAAACCGGCGUAAGCCAGGUUGGUUUCUAUCUUUAAAAAAUUAUAAUAUUUUAGUACGAAAGGACCAAAUAUUAAAAUAAUUAUAUUUUAAAUGAGAAUAUUAUUAAUUUAA